rnacentral:rRNA from 1 species
AUACGGAGGGGGCUAGCGUUGUUCGGAAUUACUGGGCGUAAAGCGCGCGUAGGCGGAUUGAUCAGUCAGGGGUGAAAUCCCGAGGCUUAACCUCGGAACUGCCUUUGAUACCGUCAAUCUUGAGUUCGAGAGAGGUGAGUGGAAUUCCUAGUGUAGAGGUGAAAUUCGUAGAUAUUAGGAAGAACACCAGUGGCGAAGGCGGCUCACUGGCUCGAUACUGACGCUGAGGUGCGAAAGCGUGGGGAGCAAACAGGAUUAGAAACCCUAGUAGUCC